rnacentral:rRNA from 1 species
AGAGUUUGAUCCUGGCUCAGGACGAACGCUGGCGGCGUGCUUAACACAUGCAAGUCGAACGGGAUCCAGAGCUUGCUCUGGUGAGAGUGGCGCACGGGUGAGUAACGCGUGGAUAACCUGCCCUGGUAUCCGGAAUAACAUCUCGAAAGGGGUGCUAAUACCGGAUAAGCCUACGGAGCCUUCGGUCUCUGCAGGAAAAGGUGGCCUCUAUUUAUAAGCUACCGUAUCAGGAUGGGUCCGCGUACCAUUAGCUAGUUGGUGGGGUAAUGGCCUACCAAGGCGACGAUGGUUAGCUGGUCUGAGAGGAUGAUCAGCCACACUGGAACUGAGACACGGUCCAGACUCCUACGGGAGGCAGCAGUGGGGAAUUUUGCGCAAUGGGGGAAACCCUGACGCAGCAACGCCGCGUGAGUGAUGAAGGCUUUCGGGUCGUAAAGCUCUGUCAGAGGGGAAGAAAUGAGAUUGGCUAAUAUCCAAUUUUCUUGACGGUACCCUCAAAGGAAGCACCGGCUAACUCCGUGCCAGCCGCCGCGGUAAUUC